UGAGAUCAAAUUAGACUUAUCG
rnacentral:miRNA from 1 species